rnacentral:rRNA from 1 species
CCUACGGGUGGCUGCAGUGGGGAAUAUUGCACAAUGGGGGAAACCCUGAUGCAGCGACGCCGCGUGAGUGAAGAAGUAAUUCGUUAUGUAAAGCUCUAUCAGCAGGGAAGAAAAUGACGGUACCUGAGUAAGAAGCCCCGGCUAACUACGUGCCAGCAGCCGCGGUAAUACGUAGGGGGCAAGCGUUAUCCGGAUUUACUGGGUGAAAAGGGAGCGUAGACGGCAGUGCAAGUCUGGAGUGAAAGGCGGGGGCUCAACCCCCGGACUGCUCUGAAAACGGUACGGCUGGGGUGCAGGAGGGGAAAGUGAAUUUCCUGGUGUGCCGGUAAACUGCG